rnacentral:rRNA from 1 species
GACGAACGCUGGCGGCGUGCUUAACACAUGCCAGUCGAACGGAAAGGCCCUGCUUUUGUGGGGUGCUCGAGUGGCGAACGGGUGAGUAACACGUGAGUAACCUGCCCUUGACUUUGGGAUAACUUCAGGAAACUGGGGCUAAUACCGGAUAGGAGCUCCUGCUGCAUGGUGGGGGUUGGAAAGUUUCGGCGGGUGGGGAUGGACUCGCGGCUUAUCAGCUUGUUGGUGGGGUAGUGGCUUACCAAGGCUUUGACGGGUAGCCGGCCUGAGAGGGUGACCGGCCACAUUGGGACUGAGAUACGGCCCAGACUGCUACGGGAGGCAGCAGUGGGGAAUAUUGCACAAUGGGCGGAAGCCUGAUGCAGCAACGCCGCGUGCGGGAUGACGGCCUUCGGGUUGUAAACCGCUUUCGCCUGUGACGAAGCGUGAGUGACGGUAAUGGGUAAAGAAGCACCGGCUAACUACGUG